GUGGACACCGCACUGGGUUUCUUCUCCAAUUCUAACCUGCUGUGAAGAAGUCACAUUUUAAGUGAAACCCUGGGCUGUUCUAGUUUACCAUAACUUGGGGUUUUGCUGGAUCUGGAGCUCCUGGCCAAGUCUGUUACUUCUCCCUGGAGUUGCCAUCCUCCAGGACGUACCUUCUCUCAAGUCAGUUGGUCUAGUCCACUGUCAGUGUGCUUCUUGGUUGGAGCCUCCGCUGCCAAGUGCUGAGGGGAAACAAAACAGAGCUUGGAGGUGAUUAGUGUGCAGUCCACAGAAAUCCUUCUGCUGUUCUCAUUUACUUGAUGAAUGAAAUCUCCCAGGGUAAAGAGCCUUCGGGUGCUGGACUUGUCAGGUGUGGAGAAGUAUAAUAACCAGGGUCAGCAGACUCAGUGACAAGAACACCACUUCUGUGCCUCAAAGAUGACAUCUUCCCAUUGUGUCUUCAUGUGAUGGAAGAGUCGGCAGUAGGUGUAACUGUCAGAAGACUGCAGUGUGGCAGAAGAGAACGGUGGAAACCACAGGCUGACCGCAUCCCUCUGUGAAGUCAACACUCCUACAGAAUAGCACUCUGCUAGAGCUACUCUCACUGAAUUCUGUUUGCAGGUACAGAGAUGCUUCUGAUGUCUGGCCAUCUGGCAGUGCGGACAGGAGAUGUCCUUGAAGCAGAUGCCCCCAUAAAAUACUAAAACUUCUUCACAACUGCUGACACCUUAGGUGGGAAGAGCAGCUCUCUUCGUUGACUCUGUAGGAAAGAACGGCAUCUGUAGUUGGAAUUGACUGCACCGACAAUGACUUUUCAACGUAAAACUAAAGAAAAUCUGGAGGAGGAGAAUAAAACAAAGAUCAUUUUCUAAAAGAAAAAAAUGGAGGAUUUGACGGCAUUCAAAAUAAUAAUGCCACCUGGAACUUGAACCAAAUUUUUCCAAUUCCAAACCUAUUGUUAUUCCCUGCCACAGCAAAAUCUACCAGGCAAGUUGUAAAUAUAAAAGGUGAGAAAUUUAAUUUUUAUGAAACAACUAAGAACAAAGGCUC
rnacentral:lncRNA from 1 species